rnacentral:rRNA from 1 species
GACGAACGCUGGCGGCGUGCCUAAUACAUGCAAGUAGAACGCACAGUUUAUACCGUAGCUUGCUACACCAUAGACUGUGAGUUGCGAACGGGUGAGUAACGCGUAGGUAACCUGCCUGGUAGCGGGGGAUAACUAUUGGAAACGAUAGCUAAUACCGCAUAAUAUUAAUUAUUGCAUGAUAAUUAAUUGAAAGGUGCAAUUGCACCACUACCAGAUGGACCUGCGUUGUAUUAGCUAGUAGGUGAGGUAACGGCUCACCUAGGCGACGAUACAUAGCCGACCUGGGAGGGUGAUCGGCCACACUGGGACUGGGACACGGCCCAGACUCCUACGGGAGGCAGCAGUAGGGAAUCUUCGGCAAUGGACGAAAGUCUGACCGAGCAACGCCGCGGGAGUGAAGAAGGGUUUCGGAUCGUAAAGCUCGGUUGUAAGAGAAGAACGGGUGUGAGAGUGGAAAGUUCACACUGUGACGGUAGCUUACCAGAAAGAGACGGCUAACUACGUG